CCUGAGCUUUUCACCAUCAGGACAUACUGCUUGAUACUGUGAAAGUAUCCAGUAUGUGUUUUUCUUUUUUCUUUCUUUCUUUCUUUUUUUUUUUUUAAAGGUUCGACAUGCACAGACUAUAACCCUAAACCUGGCCAGUUUUUUGUCAACGCAUGACAUUUGGGCAUGGGGGUGGGUAGGGGCAGACGGUACAACAGAGAGUUCAAAUGGAUUGACUUUAUUUCCAAAACCAGUCCUUGGGGAAAGAUUUCAGGGCAUGUCCUACUGAAAGUCAGCAUGCAGAGACUGUCAUUCCUAGAACAGGGCUGACCCAAAGAACAACAGUGCUGCAAGCCAUCUUCACACCAACCCUAUGACGUAGGCAUCAUUAUCCCCCAUUUUACAGAUGAAGAAACUGAGGUUAAGCAAUUUGUCCACCCUACUGCUGGUGAAUGACCGAGCCAAGACUUGCACAUACUGGUUCCCUUGCCUGCACUCCUUUUUAGCCAUACUCCACUCUUGCCUUGGUGGACCAAGAUCCGUGAUGGACAUGUUAUUAUAUUAACAAGAAAACAAACUCUUGAAUUUGGGCCUCUGAUGAUAGUGACACAGCACAUGCACUGGGGUGUUUGGAGACAAGAGAAAAGCCAGUCCCGCAAACAAGCUUCCAGGUGUUUGCUAACGUUGAGGUGUGCAGUCUUGGUCAAUCAUCAAUCCAGUAACACACUGCCCAGUUAAAGCACCGCCGAGCAGAACAGGAAGCAAAAAGCGUGUCCGCAGGCUGCAUUGAGAGCGGCCCUGGCCUGGGUGAGGCAGCCUGCCUCUUAGGAGUGGCAGAGCUCAACAGGAAACCCCAAGGACCUUCAAGCAAUAAGAGCUGAGACCUGGAAGGUUUUUCCCACUGAGAAGUCAAGACCUCUUCCAUAAGGCCCCCUUCUCCACUGAAGCCUGGGUAAUCCUUAACCCUAACUUGUUCGGGGCACUCUUGAGAAGACAGAAAGACUUGUCUGUACCUCUCACAGAGACCACGACCAGGGCGAGCAGCUCAGGUCCUCCGAAACCAGAAUUGGCCGGGUCAGCGUUCCCCUCAGAAACCACACUUUGUUUUUCCUCCAGGGAGCCAGGGACUCAAUCACCUGUGACCCACCGUUUCUGUGUUGCCUACACAGCACACACGUCAAGAUCUAAAAUGGCCUCUGCACCCUGUUGCCCUCACCCAUCCUGGCCCCCACUCUGGGAAUGUGUGCAGCUCCACCUUCAGCAUGAAAGUCAGGAACCCGCGGCUCCUCCCUCCCCUGAAAAACAGAGCAUGACCCAAAGAAUAGAGCUUUUCAUUCUGUACC